UGGCUCAGGAUGAACGCUGGCGGCGUGCUUAACACAUGCAAGUCGAACGGAGGACCCUUGACGGAGUUUUCGGACAACUGAUAGGAAUCCUUAGUGGCGGACGGGUGAGUAACGCGUGAGGAACCUGCCUUGGAGUGGGGAAUAACAGCUGGAAACAGCUGCUAAUACCGCAUGAUGCAUUUGGGUCGCAUGAUUCUGAAUGCCAAAGAUUUAUCGCUCUGAGAUGGCCUCGCGUCUGAUUAGCUAGUUGGUGGGGUAACGGCUCACCAAGGCGACGAUCAGUAGCCGGACUGAGAGGUUGGCCGGCCACAUUGGGACUGAGACACGGCCCAGACUCCUACGGGAGGCAGCAGUGGGGAAUAUUGGGCAAUGGGCGCAAGCCUGACCCAGCAACGCCGCGUGAAGGAAGAAGGCCCUCGGGUUGUAAACUUCUUUUAUCAGGGACGAAGCAAGUGACGGUACCUGAUGAAUAAGCCACGGCUAACUACGUGCCAGCAGCCGCGGUAA
rnacentral:rRNA from 1 species